AGAAUGAACGCUGGCGGCAUGCCUAACACAUGCAAGUCGAACGAAUUACCUUCGGGUAGUUAGUGGCGCACGGGUGCGUAACGCGUGGGAAUCUACCCCUUGGUUCGGAAUAACAGUUGGAAACGACUGCUAAUACCGGAUGAUGACGUAAGUCCAAAGAUUUAUCGCCGAGGGAUGAGCCCGCGUAGGAUUAGCUAGUUGGUGUGGUAAAGGCGCACCAAGGCGACGAUCCUUAGCUGGUCUGAGAGGAUGAUCAGCCACACUGGGACUGAGACACGGCCCAGACUCCUACGGGAGGCAGCAGUGGGGAAUAUUGGACAAUGGGCGAAAGCCUGAUCCAGCAAUGCCGCGUGAGUGAUGAAGGCCUUAGGGUUGUAAAGCUCUUUUACCCGGGAUGAUAAUGACAGUACCGGAGAAUAAGCUCCGGCUAACUCCGUGCCAGCAGCCGC
rnacentral:rRNA from 1 species